UACGUAGGGCGCAAGCGUUGUCCGGAAUUAUUGGGCGUAAAGAGCUCGUAGGCGGCUUGUCGCGUCGGGUGUGAAAGCUUGGGGCUUAACCCCAAGUCUGCAUCCGAUACGGGCAGGCUAGAGGCAGGUAGGGGAGAACGGAAUUCCCGGUGUAGCGGUGAAAUGCGUAGAGAUCAUGAGGAAGACCAGUGGCGAAGGCGGGUCUCUGGACAGUUCCUGACACUGAGGCACGAAGGCCAGGGGAGCAAACGGG
rnacentral:rRNA from 1 species